rnacentral:tmRNA from 1 species
GCCCUUUAAACAUCGUGCGCCAUACCCUAUAUUGGCCUUGUCAGCUUGCUGACUAUGGCGAUAAACGCGCUCGUAAUAACCAGACCGGACCCGGGGGCAGUACCCGGCGGCUCCACCAUUACCUUCAGCUUGUAUUGGCAAGCGAUUAUGGGGCCGAAACAGGAUUGACGGAUGGGUAAAGGGGAAUGCUUUUGCCCGGGUGAGGCCCGAUACAGGCUCAUUCUUAAAGUUGCCAAUGACAACUUUGCUGAAGAAGUUCGUCUCGCUGCCUAGUCAGCGCGUAUAACUUCGCAUUAACUCCUGGGUGUUCGCACGCUCAGGCGGGGUCCGGAGGCACCUGGCAACAGAAGCCUCCACU